UGAAAGGGUGCGGUUACCCAGCAUGCAGACACUAAAUGAAAACAAAAACAGAAAGAUCAAGACAGAAAAACAAAAGAGAAAACAAAAUCUUAAAAGGAAAGAGAUGAUCCAGAUGACUUUUAAAAGGAAACAUCUAUAACAAGAUUACAAAUAACUCAGUGCCAGCCAGCCUCUGUACCACAAAUUAAAGGGCAAACAGUCUUUCCUGCCUAGAUAUUAAACUUCUUGGUUGAGAUGGUGGUGGUGGUGAGUGAUCAGACAGAAGCAGACAAAGGAUAACUCAACCUUUCUACCUGAGAUUCAUGACCAAAAUUAAGUCACUACUUACCAGAAAAAUUUCAAUGGCACCAAGAAUAUACAUGGCUGCUGCAAAUGUGGUACCAAGAUAAAAGCAGAGCCCAACAGCCCCUCCAAACUCUGGGCCCAGCGCUCUGGAAAUCAUGAAGUACGAACCCCCAGCUACAAGACAAAACAGCGUUAACAGGAUAAAGAGUGUAUUAGUAAGAAUAAUGUAGUCAUAAAUAAUA